GUGCCUAAUACAUGCAAGUCGAACGCUUCUUUUUCCACCGGAGCUUGCUCCACCGGAAAAAGAGGAGUGGCGAACGGGUGAGUAACACGUGGGUAACCUGCCCAUCAGAAGGGGAUAACACUUGGAAACAGGUGCUAAUACCGUAUAACAAUCGAAACCGCAUGGUUUUGAUUUGAAAGGCGCUUUCGGGUGUCGCUGAUGGAUGGACCCGCGGUGCAUUAGCUAGUUGGUGAGGUAACGGCUCACCAAGGCCACGAUGCAUAGCCGACCUGAGAGGGUGAUCGGCCACAUUGGGACUGAGACACGGCCCAAACUCCUACGGGAGGCAGCAGUAGGGAAUCUUCGGCAAUGGACGAAAGUCUGACCGAGCAACGCCGCGUGAGUGAAGAAGGUUUUCGGAUCGUAAAACUCUGUUGUUAGAGAAGAACAAGGAUGAGAGUAACUGUUCAUCCCUUGACGGUAUCUAACCAGAAAGCCACGGCUAACUACGUGCCAGCAGCCGCGGUAAUACGUAGGUGGCAAGCGUUGUCCGGAUUUAUUGGGCGUAAAGCGAGCGCAGGCGGUUUCUUAAGUCUGAUGUGAAAGCCCCCGGCUCAACCGGGGAGGGUCAUUGGAAACUGGGAGACUUGAGUGCAGAAGAGGAGAGUGGAAUUCCAUGUGUAGCGGUGAAAUGCGUAGAUAUACGGAGGAACACCAGUGGCGAAGGCGG
rnacentral:rRNA from 1 species